rnacentral:rRNA from 1 species
AUUGAACGCUGGCGGCAGGCCUAACACAUGCAAGUCGAACGAGUGGCGGACGGGUGCGUAAUGUCGGGGAAACUGCCUGAUGGAGGGGGAUAACUACUGGAAACGGUCGCUAAUACCGCAUACCCUCGGAUGUGCCCAGAUGGGAUUAGCUAGUAGGUGGGGUAACGGCUCACCAAGUCGACGAUCCCUAGCUGGUCGAAGAGGAUGACCAGCCACACGGGACAUGAGACACGGUCCAGACUCCUACGGUAGGCAGCAGUGGGGAAUAUUGCACAAUGGGCGCAAGCCUGAUGCAGCAAUGCCGCGUGUAUGAAGAAGGCCUUCGGGUUGUAAAGUACUUUCAGCGGUGAGGCGUUACCCGCAGAAGAAGCACCGGCUAACUCCGUGCCAGCCGCCGCGGUAAUAC